CGUUCCCUUCUAUCUGCCUCCGCCCUGCAGACGGCGGACCCCCUCCUCUUCCCUUCCGCAUGCCUGCUCGCCACCGCCGUUCUUGCAGCGCUGACGCGCGCGCCAUUGCUCCCAUCGAAUUGAAGUCCUAGCAAAUCGCAAAUUGAUGCUGGAGGUCCCACUGCCCGUGCAAGUGAUUUACGAACAGCAGCGCCGUUCGCCGCCGCCCGCGAGCCUGCGCCACGCACGAGCGAUCUCCUCGAGACUGAAGGAGAAACCCACACAGUAGUUCUGUGCAUUAUGAGAACUGUAUUACAAUGACAAAUUGACUGAAGAAUAGGAGGCAAGCAUCUUCUGUGAACCAAGCUGGAAGUUGAACUUAGUGAAAUGUGAAACGGAAGUUGAACUUAGUGAAACAUGAAAUAACUAUUAACACAGUUGCCGACUGAGGAGGUGAUUGCAAGAUAUGGUGAGGUAACUGCAAGGAUGGAUGGUAGGGUACUUUGAAUUUAUGAGAUUCCAAGGGCCACGCCAAGUUUUAAACAGAGCUUAUUAUUUCAAACAACCUGAAUUUUAUGAGCUAGCUCCUGUGACAGGAUUAUUCGGUAUCACAUUUCCCAUCUGACAGAAUUUCUUCUCUCUUUUUUCUUGUGACUCAUCUGACAGAAUUUCUAUGAAUGAAAACGACCAAAUCGUUGCAUAAAAUUUGCUAUCA